CCUCCUUGUACCAACAGGGUAAGGUUUGUCUCCUGGCCUCCUCCUUGUACCAACAGGGUAAGGUUUGUCUCCUGGCCUCCUCCUUGUACCAACAGGGUAAGGUUUGUCUCCUGGCCCCCUCCUUGUACCAACAGGGUAAGGGUUGUCUCCUGGCCCCCUCCUUGUACCAACAGGGUAAGGUUUGUCUCCUGGCCCCCUCCUUGUACCAACAGGGUAAGGUUUGUCUCCUGGCUCCUUACUGGUCCCACCAGGGUAAGGUUUGUCUCAUGGUAGCCUCCUUGUCCUGGCUGAUUCUGAAGAAGAAAUGUCGUUGGCCAGUGUCUCAGUUGGUCUGGAGAUAUCCCUGCCAUCAGUGAUAGUGGCUCAAUACAAAGAGACAAAACUAAAAAUCCCAUGAAUGUAUAUCUUUCUCCCAUCACCCAUGCCUCCUCCUCCUCAUCAUCCUCCUCACCUGUCCAUUGUGUCCCUGUGGCCAAAGUAAAGGUUCGCACAGCAUCUCAGGACUUCCACCCACCCCUCUGCCCCCUCUUCCCCUCUCUCUCUCCCCCUCUCCCUCCACCAAAAUAUUUCCCUAAGACUAAGCCCCCCCCCCCAAGGACAUAAAGAACACACCCAACAUGCUAUGCCUCUGAGCACUCCCAUCUAAAGAGAAAGAAAGGAGAGUGGAAUCUCAGUGGAGAACAGAACAGAAUAGAACAGAAUAGAAUAGAGUAGAGCAGAACAUACUAAACCAUUACAAGAGAAAUAGCUGUGAAACUUUGGAGGAUCAUAAAAUGCCAAAAUAUGCAAACUUUCUAUUUUGCUCUGUUUGAUGACAUCAUUUUCUAAGAGGUGUGUUGUGUGAAACCUAUGUAAUGCCUAUUGUGCAGGAGAAGUAACAUGAUAUCAAUACAUAUUUAUAUCCAUUCUUAUUUUCCAUGCAGUUAUGCAGCGCUUGCUCAAAUUGUCAAUUUUCCUCAUUCACAGAUUCAUGUCCAUUGACACUGAAUUCUUAUCGCACGAGUCCAGACCAAGCAGACAACACGCAAGUCUACAGUAAUGACUAAUCACUUUAAAGGGUCUCAUUCACUAAUGUUGAGUGCUGCUCGGUCUUGUGGAUAAGGAUAAUAAUGUUGCUUGUUAUGAAGUAUGUCACUAACAGGUUUGGAAGUUAAUUUCAUACCUGUCAAAAAUGUUGGAGUAAAUGGUUCUGACAAUGCAUUUGAAAUGAUUGUUGAUAAUCCUGCAAAACUGGUUAUAUACAUUCUAAAAUAUAACCAAAAAAAGAAAUGACUGUACCAGGACAAAAUCAUCAGAUGAGUCUAGGUCAAAAGUAAACUAAUAAACUAAUAAGUAGGAUUUAAAACACAACGGCUGUAAGAUGAAGGCACAUUGAAAAAAACACGUAGACACGUAGACAUCUCACAAAUGGAUUUUCUCUCAUUUCGGUUUCUCACACUCUGAGUGUAAUUUUGUAUGUUUGAAAAAUGUAAAAGAAGACAGUAGUUCUAGUUUAAAUGUGAUAUUUUCCCAACCUUGCCCCCCUCCUCACCCAAUAGAAGUGCUGCCAGGUUUUUCUUUUUCUUCCCUUGCUUGACAUGUUUCAACACCUCUCCUCUGCAUGUACUUGUGGUCAAGGUAUAUGGGUGCAUGGUGGUGAAAAGCAGCAGUCAGUUUAUUUUCAGUCAGUGGAAGUGUGUUUCAUUUAACAUUCAGCAAUAAAAAUACCCCCCCCCCAUCUCCAUUCUAGGAAUAUGCUAGAUUGUCAUAGAUUGUAAAAUAAAAUUUUAAAAAUAAUCCACAAAAUAAAUCUUGAUUCAUAUCAUUUUAACAUAAAGUGGUCAUCUCUGUGCAGGACUUUGGUGUGUGUUUUGAGAUAUCCUUAGCCAUUGGGCUGAG
ensembl:lncRNA